GAUGAACGCUAGCGGCAGGCUUAAUACAUGCAAGUCGUGGGGCAGCAGGACUGUAGCACUACAGUUGCUGGCGACCGGCAAACGGGUGCGGAACACGUACGCAACUUACCCUGAACUGGGGGAUAGCACGGGGAAACCCGUAUUAAUACCCCGUAAUAUAAUGGAGUGGCAUCACUUUAUUAUUAAAGCUCCGGCGGUUCGGGCUGGGCGUGCGGGUGAUUAGGUAGUUGGUUGAGGUAACGGCUCACCAAGCCUACGAUCAGUAACUGGUGUGAGGGCACCACCAGGCACACGGGCACGGAGACACGGGCCCGGAUACUACGGGAGGCAGCAGUAAGGAAUAUUGGGCAAUGGAGGCAACUCUGACCCAGCCAUGCCGCGUGGAGGAUGCCGGCCCUCUGGGUUGUAAACUUCUUUUAUAGGGGACGAAACCUGUGUAUUCUUACGCAGUUGACGGUACCCGAUGAAUAAGCACCGGCUAACUCCGUG
rnacentral:rRNA from 1 species